UCCGGGGUGGGAUGGGCGGGGCGACGGGGAGCCCCUCAUCCUCUGUAGCAGCGGCAGGCGGCGGCUCUGGUGGAGUGGCGGGCGCAGGUGGUGCAAUGCCCGCAGCCACUCGGCCACCGACAGCGCAGCAUCCCCAGCCUCUGCCAUGGUUCCUGCCAGCAGAGGUCCGACUGGCAGGGCUCUGUCCGGAGCUGGAAUAGACAAACAGGCACAGGUCAGAGGCAGGGUUGCCGAGAGUGGUCCCCUCACCAGCAGCCUGCAUGGCCCUCUCAAGCCACGGGUUCGGGUUCUGUCCUGGAGCUUCCUCCCCAGUGCUCCAUGUGCUAGGCAAGGCCAGAAAACCCUCCAUGAUCUCUGGGAUCGGCACCACCCCACACCCCAACACACGGCCUCAGCCACUGCUGUGAGACUGGCCAGUGGCGUGACUGGUGCUAUGUCUGGUAUCUCCUCCCCACUGCCCUCUGCAAGACCCAGGGCAGGGCCAAUUCUCUCUGAGGCACCAGUUCCCCGUGAGGGCCAGGAUAAGCACUUAGCAAGCGUUGAAGGACACCACUCACUGCUGGUCUCUCCUGCAAGCCCAGUCUGGGAGCCCAGACUAGCCUCCCCUUACCCCUAUGCCCAUGGAGGAAGUGUACGAGGCAAUGAGGACUCAGGCUCCACCCCUGCACCCUGCAAUUAAGAGCUCCUAGCCUGGUGGGAGUCAAGAGGUGAUGUGAAGAGAAGGUGACCGGAAGAGGUGAUGAGCAGAUCAAAGGGAAAAGUCAUCCGAUUCUCUCCACAGACACUGGAGAGGCAUACGAUAAAAUUCAAUAUCCAGCUUACUUACACAAACAAAAUCUUACUAAAACAGAAAUAAAUUGAUACUUUCCUAA